rnacentral:lncRNA from 1 species
UUUUGUAUUUUUUAGUAGAGACGGGGUUUCACCGUGUUAGCCAGGAUGGUCUCGAUCUCCUGACCUCCUGAACUACCUGCCUUGGCCUCCCAAAGUGCUGGGAUUACAGGAGUGAGCUGCCGCACCCAGCCAACGUGUAAUAUAUUUAUACAAUGUGAUAUUAUACAGGCACAAUUCUAAAACUUUUGGUUUCAGGACAAACUUACACUCUAACAAUGUAUUAAGGAGUCCAAAAUUCUUUUGUUUUGUGGCUCACGUGCAUUGACAUUUACUGUAUUAUUAAAACAGUGAGAUUAUUUUAAUACCUAUUCAUUAUAUAAAAAUAAGAAACUCAUGAUAUGUUAAUAUCAAUAGCUUAUGUUUAAAAUAUAUUUUACAAAAAAUUGCUAAGUGGAGUUUUAUGUAUUUGCAUAUCUCUUUUAUGUCUGUUUUAAUAGAAAAUAGCUGCUUUGCUUUCAAACUGUUUUUGACAUAUUGCUCUGGUUAAAGUGUGUGGUGAAGAAAAUCUUGUCUCAACACAAAUACGUUGUUAAAAAUGGGAAGAGUAUUUUAAUAGAUUUUAUGUAUAAUUAUUUAUAUCCUUCCUUGAUACUAUGUCAAUGUCUAUGUCAAAAUUCUACUAGUGGUAGUUUCUUAAAAAUAGUUGAAUGGUUUUGUAAUAUCAUGCAUUGAUCAUUCAAAAAAUUAUUUUGCAGAAUUUUUCAAAUUUCCAAAUUUUGACAUAUUUCAUUUUACAAUAUAAAAAAUUCACAUUUGUAAUAUCUCAUCAAAAAUGUAUCCAAGUAUUGAGGUACUGUUGAGCUCAGAGUAGUGGAUACAUGUUGAGCUCAGAGCAGUGGAUACAUAUUUUCCAAAAUUAUACAUUUAUUCUGGAAAGUUGCAACAGUCUCCAAUCUGCUUUCCUUCCACUUUCACUCUGCUCUUCUGUUAUACAGGGAAGUCAGAAAAAUACGAUUAUAUAUAUUAAGUCAUGUCACUCUCCUGAUCUAAGCCUACUGAAGGCUUUCCAUCUCUCUCAAGAUGAAACAUAAUGUCUUAACUGGAUUCCGUCUGCACCCUCAUCUGUAACCUAUCUUACCCUUCUGUUCCUGUCACUCAUUCUGUUUAAGAACAACCAAGUCCCACCCCUACCUUUAGGCCCAGGCAUUUACUGUUCCUUCUGCCAAGAAUGUUCCUCCAGGUUAUCUCCUUCCCUUCAUUCACGUCUCAGCUUAAAUGUCGUCUCUUCAAUGGAGAAGUCCCGAUGACCUAAUGGAGAAUACCAAGGUUUUAUACCACUCAUCAGCUCUGUACUUCUUGUCUUCUCCAUUUGGUUCAGGAAGCUGAGACUAAGUCAUAAGCCAGGCUGUGAUCUAUGUGGUAACCUGAAGCUCUGAAAACUUAUAAUGAAAUCCUGCUCUUCAGCUGUAUUUCUAAGAGUGAAAGUUAUGGGGAAAAAAAGAAAUUCAAUGAAAAAUAAUGGGACAAUUGCUAAAUUAUGAAUCACAAUGUAAUAACCAAUCAUGAUGCAAAAUUAUUACUCACAGUCUGGCCUUUAGUGCUGACUGGCAAUUCCACUAUAUCUCAUAGUCCAUGUCUUCUAGGUGACAAUCUGGUACUUCUUGCUCUACCUGCAAACCUCUAAAAUCACCCUCUUAAUCUCAAUUGACACCCUCUUCUGAUCAACUAUAGCUGCAUAGCAAACCACCAGAGAGUAUGAGAUGGAGCUUAAAACAAAUUACACUCUCUAGUAACAAAUUAUUUACAGUAUUCCCAUAAGAAAAAAAAUGGAUUAUUGUAUCAGAUGUGGUGGCUUAUGUCUAUAAUCCCAGCACUUUGGGAGGAAGAGGCGAGAGGAUCACUUGAGACCAGGAGUUUCAGACCAGCCUGGGCAGUGUAACCAGAUCCCAUCUCUACCAUAAAAGAAAGAAAGACAAAGAGAGAGGAGGAAGGAAGGAAGGAGAGAAAGAAAGAGAGAGAGGGAGAGAGAGAAAGAUGAAAGAAAGAAAGAAAAAAAGAAAGAAAGAAAGAAGAAAGAAAGAAAGAAAGAAAGAAAGAAAGAAAGAAAGAAAGAAAGAAAGAAAAAGAGAGAAAGGAAGGAAGGAAGGAAGGAAGAAAACGAAGGAAGGAGGGAGGGAGAGAGGGAGGAAAAAAGAAAAAAGGAAGGAA